GAAGGUAUAGCUCAAGCAGUAGUGUGCAUGCUUAGCAUGCAUGAGGUCCUGGGUUCAAUCCCCAGUAUCUCCU
rnacentral:tRNA from 1 species